rnacentral:rRNA from 1 species
CCUGGUUGAUUCUGCCAGUAGUCAUAUGCUUGUCUCAAAGAUUAAGCCAUGCAUGUCUAAGUAUAAGCAAUUAUACAGCGAAACUGCGAAUGGCUCAUUAUAUAAGUUAUCGUUUAUUUGAUAGUACCUUACUACUUGGACAACCGUGGUAAUUCUAGAGCUAAUACAUGCUAAAAAUCCCGACUCCGGAAGGGAUGUAUUUAUUAGAUUAAAAACCAAUGCCCUCUGGGCUCUCUGGUGAUUCAUAAUAACUUCUCGAAUCGCAUGGCCUUGUGCCGGCGAUGGUUCAUUCAAAUUUCUUCCCUAUCAACUUUCGAUGUUUGGGUAGUGGCCAAACAUGGUUGCAACGGGUAACGGAGGGUUAGGGCUCGACCCCGGAGAAGGAGCCUGAGAAACGGCUACUACAUCCAAGGAAGGCAGCAGGCGCGCAAAUUACCCAAUCCCGAUCCGGGGAGGUAGUGACAAUAAAUACCGAUACAGGGCUCUUUUGGGUCUUGUAAUUGGAAUGAGUACAAUUUAAAUCCCUUAACGAGGAACAAUUGGAGGGCAAGUCUGGUGCCAGCAGCCGCGGUAAUUCCAGCUCCAAUAGCGUAUAUUAAAGUUGUUGUGGUUAAAAAGCUCGUAGUUGAACCUUGGGCCUGGCUGGCCGGUCCGCCUCACCGCGUGUACUGGUCCGGCCGGGCCUUUCCCUCUGUGGAACCCCAUGCCCUUCACUGGGCGUGGCGGGGAAACAGGACUUUUACUUUGAAAAAAUUAGAGUGCUCCAGGCAGGCCUAUGCUCGAAUACAUUAGCAUGGAAUAAUGAAAUAGGACGCGCGGUUCUAUUUUGUUGGUUUCUAGGACCGCCGUAAUGAUUAAUAGGGACAGUCGGGGGCAUCAGUAUUCAAUUGUCAGAGGUGAAAUUCUUGGAUUUAUUGAAGACUAACUACUGCGAAAGCAUUUGCCAAGGAUGUUUUCAUUAAUCAGGAACGAAAGUUAGGGGAUCGAAGACGAUCAGAUACCGUCGUAGUCUUAACCAUAAACUAUGCCGACUAGGGAUCGGACGAUGUUAUUUUUUGACUCGUUCGGCACCUUACGAGAAAUCAAAGUGCUUGGGCUCCAGGGGGAGUAUGGUCGCAAGGCUGAAACUUAAAGAAAUUGACGGAAGGGCACCACCAGGGGUGGAGCCUGCGGCUUAAUUUGACUCAACACGGGGAAACUCACCAGGUCCAGACACAAUGAGGAUUGACAGAUUGAGAGCUCUUUCUUGAUUUUGUGGGUGGUGGUGCAUGGCCGUUCUUAGUUGGUGGAGUGAUUUGUCUGCUUAAUUGCGAUAACGAACGAGACCUUAACCUGCUAAAUAGCCCGUAUUGCUUUGGCAGUACGCCGGCUUCUUAGAGGGACUAUCGGCUCAAGCCGAUGGAAGUUUGAGGCAAUAACAGGUUG